CUUGACCCAAAGAGGGAAUGACGCACUUACAGUAUCAGAGGCAUGAGCUGCAGCUGCUGCAGCGGUUGGAUUGCAAGCAGUCUGGAAGCACUUCAACACAGAACGGGUGGAGAUUCAACAGAGACUUGUGGGUGUGGCAAAUUCUGCCCCCUCCCACUCUGCACAGUCCGUGUUUCAGCCCUCCUCUUGAAGUGCAGCAUCGUGCCCAGCAAGCCCUUCCAAGUUCUCCCUA